AUUGAACGCUGGCGGCAGGCUUAACACAUGCAAGUCGAGCGAGCGGAGGACGGGUGAGUAAUGUCUGGGAAACUGCCUGAUGGAGGGGGAUAACUACUGGAAACGGUAGCUAAUACCGCAUACCAUCGGAUGUGCCCAGAUGGGAUUAGCUAGUAGGUGGGGUAAAGGCUCACCUAGGCGACGAUCCCUCGCUGGUCUGAGAGGAUGACCGGCCACACUGGAACUGAGACACGGUCCAGACUCCUACGGGAGGCAGCAGUGGGGAAUAUUGCGCAAUGGGCGCAAGCCUGAUGCAGCCAUGCCGCGUGUAUGAAGAAGGCCUUCGGGUUGUAAAGUCCUUUCUGCGGGGAAGCGGUACCCAAAGAAGAAGCCCCGGCUAACUCCGGGCCAGCAGCCGCGGUAAUUC
rnacentral:rRNA from 1 species